UAAAUCCAAUAAUUAUUGUCCCCAAUUACAAACAUUUUAUUAAGUAGUCAUAAGAUCUGGAUUCAUUUUUUCCAUCCUGGGAAGUACCAUCAUGUACCAAUCUAAUGAAUCCAUGUCUAUGUAUCAUCUCCAAUUAAAAUAAAACGCAUGGCCUAAUUAACAAGACACACUUAUUUUCCAUUCCCCCAAGUUGGUGCAGUAGAAGUAACCAGUCCCCAGUCGUGACCCAGACCAGAGUAAGUUUCCAACACCAACACAGCACCAACCCAGGGUUAGGGUUUCUGCAAUUCCCCAAUCUCCAUCUUCCCAAAAUUAGGGUUUCUUCGCGCCAUGACGGACGGCUACUGGAACCGACAACAGACGCUUCUGUCUCAAUCCGGCAUGCUCAAACGACCGCAUUCCGACUACGAUAUGCCUGCUUCCGGUCUGUCUUUCAGGUAAUGAGAUGCAUAAUAAUUUUGCUCGUGAUGAUGACCGUACCGGUCACCGAAUGCUAAAGGACACAAAAACAAUUGGAUCUGCUUAUGACCGCUACCUUCAGAGUGGGCAACUUUCUUCAUUUACUUCUGGGGAAGCCAGUACAGUUGGGGGUCUUGGGUUGGCUAGGGGUGGUGGUGGAUUAUCAGACCAUUCACUAGCUGAUCCUUCUGUCAUGGGGCGUCAUGGGGGUGGUGGUCCAGAUCUAGCACCAAAUGGACGGGGUGUUAACUAUGGUGGUCAGCUACCUGUAGAUGCAGUUUCCAGACCUGGACCUGAGACAGUACCUCUACCUCCAGAUGCUUCAAGUACUCUAUAUGUUGAAGGUCUCCCUUCUGAUAGCACCAGAAGGGAAGUAGCUCAUAUUUUUCGCCCUUUUGUUGGGUAUAGAGAAGUUAGACUUGUGAGCAAAGAAUCCAAACAUCGUGGUGGAGAUCCUCAUUACCUUUGUUUUGUGGACUUUGCAAAUCCAGCUUGUGCAGCAACUGCUAUGAGUGCCUUGCAAGGUUAUAAAGUUGAUGAACUCAAUCCUGAAUCUAGUCACUUGCGGCUUCAGUUUUCUCGGUAUCCUGGUCCAAGAAGUGGACCUGCUUUUCGUGGUAAAAGAUGAUCUGGUUCACAAAAGCCAUCUAGGUUUUAUGCUCAUCAGAAUGUCAGUGGUUCUUUACACCAUCGUUUUGGGGGUGAUACACCACAUGCAAUUUUAUUUACCCUCACUGGACACAAUCCUUAUUAGAGCCCUUGGAACAGGCCGAGAUCAAAGUACAAUUUCAAUUUGCAUAAAACUAACAGAUGAGGAUUUUUAGAACAUGUAUUCAGUUACUCUGAUGUAUCAUUAUUUGCUAAAUUACAUUAUCCUGGUGUCUGAUUUAUGGUAGCGUUUCCUUUGAGCUUCCCAAACAACUAUUAUUAUUCUAUUACUAUUUUUUUUAUUCAAUAUUAUCAUACCAAACUUGGGUAUGUGGUAUAUGGGGUUACUGUAAUAUAGUGGAUAUUAUUCCAAUAGCUUAAAUAGCUAUAAUGGAUAUUGAGAAAAAAA